rnacentral:rRNA from 1 species
GACGAACGCUGGCGGCGUGCCUAAUACAUGCAAGUAGAACGCACAGUUUAUACCGUAGCUUGCUACACCAUAAACUGUGAGUUGCGAACGGGUGAGUAACGCGAAGGUAACCUGCCUGGUAGCGGGGGAUAACUAUUGGAAACGAUAGCUAAUACCGCAUAAUAUUGAUUAUUGCAUGAUAAUUGAUUGAAAGAUGCUAUUGCAUCACUACCAGAUGGACCUGCGUUGUAUUAGCUAGUAGGUGAGGUAACGGCUCACCUAGGCGACGAUACAUAGCCGACCUGAGAGGGUGAUCGGCCACACUGGGACUGAGACACGGCCCAGACUCCUACGGGAGGCAGCAGUAGGGAAUCUUCGGCAAUGGACGAAAGUCUGACCGAGCAACGCCGCGUGAGUGAAGAAGGUUUUCGGAUCGUAAAGCUCUGUUGUAAGAGAAGAACGGGUGUGAGAGUGGAAAGUUCACACUGUGACGGUAUCUUACCAGAAAGGGACGGCUAACUACGUG